GUUCUUCCAAAGACCACGCGUCAGGUCUUCAUGCACUACUGUCGAAAUUCGUCAGACACCGCCAAAAAUUUCGAUUAGCCGCCGCCGAUCAGCAAAGUAGCGGUGAGAAUCCUCUUCCCUUAUGCUGAUCUCCAAUCCAAUGUAAAAAGACCCGAAAUCUUUUGGAUUUGAUCAAUUAAAACUGGUUCAAAAUUUGUCAAGGAAUCACCAACUCCAUGGAAGCUCCACCACCGACUGCACCCAAAUUGAUGUAGUCUAAGAUCCUUAUUUGCUCUUGCGUCUUGAGCAAAGGAAAGUGACGAAGAUUUUACUCCACAAGUAAUUGGAGACAUCGGAAAAACUUAGAA